UUCUGUCCUACCCAGGCAAAUUUUAUUUAAUUUAUCAAAUAGUUAUGACACAAUAAAAAAUACACAUGAAUAUCUAGAGGAAUGAAUGUUGAGGCGCAUCGUCGCCGCUGGCCAGGUACCCUAGAGUUGCAUUGCAUUUAUUGAACGUAAUGACGUAAUGGGGCGAUUUGUUCAGAGGGGAGCUAAAUGACCGCAGAGAAGUGUCUGCUCGUAGCUGAUUGACGACGUGCCUGCAUAAGGUCACACGUAUGUGAAUUACAUAACGCAUUAAUAUCUAAAAACUUAUGUGCGUAUUUUGUGUGAUCUGCCGCCCGCGCCGCCAGGGACUUCCAUAUCUGUCUACCGAUGUGCAUGACCAUCGGCGGAGGCCUGGAGCCCCAUAGGACGUAGCCAGCCAUGAGAUUUAUUGAUGAAAUUCCGGGUUUGCUGAAAUGAUUCGGUAUUGCGACCCUUGCUGUGGACCCACUCCAUCUAGGGAACAGUCUGAAGUCAAUAUCCCCUAUUACCUACAUGGGACCUCUCACCUCCUAGUACAUGGGACACAAUGUAUUAUACAGUGGCAUUACGUGCCGUAAUGUGCACCUCUGCCUACCCCUUCGGAGUUACAAGGCGUGACGUUGUAUAAAAUAUCGUAUCUCACUAGUAACGGGAAAAACCAAAUGCAAGCACGAGAAAUUUGAAGAAAAUUAAAUAACAUGUUUUUGUGGCUGGACUUGGCGGAUGCACUGGCGUGCAGCCUUUAACCCAAGGUACCGUCACGCCCUGAUUGUUGGAAGCCUUUGCGAAGUACGCAUGCGCGAGCCCGGCCGAAGCUGCGACCCUUUCCCCCCAGCCCCGCGCCGCGACGCCCACUGCAUCGCCGGCCUCUGCCGACUUUGUCGUUAUUUGUUCAAGUAAUAUAUUUCUUAAAUUUUGAGAUUGUUUGCAAAUAUUGUGUUGGUGAGGCGGGUCAUCGGGACGAGGACGUCGAGCUUCGAACGGCGCCUGAGGAGCGCAGGUAAGUGGGACCCAGUCGAAGUCAGGCACAAAGUACUUACACAACCUGUUUGGGAAAAGGAAUACUUCGCAUCUUCCGUCUAGUAAGUGCCUCGUAUUAACUCACAUGAUUAAACAGGUCUAAUUCAUCUUAAUUUUAAAUGAUGACAAAUUGGCCAAUGUAUGAGGAAGGUACGAAAUAUUCCACUAUACGUACAACUUAAGCUGCUGGUACAUGAGUGUUUGUAAUUUCCAUGUUGACGAGAGCGCGUGACGCAGCCUCCCUGAACCACGAACACUGCACACCCCGCGGCUACCAGCUCGCUGAUGAAGCAGGUCGGUACUCACCACCACCACAACCACACUUACACUUUACACCAUUCUAAAUAGGUCGGACUGGCGCGUGGCUACUUGCUGGUCCAUUUUGGACUUGCUGUUGACACUAAAAGUUUUAUCAUCCUUUUAGUAUCAAUACAAGUCCCCAAUUGACUAACUUCUCAUCUUCCCGACGAGCCCACCUGUUGCCGAUGAAGCCAGCGAAGCGUCCACAGCAACACCUACAAGCGGCAAGUUACUUAUAGGCGGACAUGUAGGAGUCUGUGCGUGCUCUCGACAACAGACUAACUGCAUUGCCGUUAAUAAGUUUCUUAGCUUUUGACUGCACGACGAAGUGACGAUGCGACGCACGGCGCGGAAGCAGCGACGGCGAGCGACGGAGC